rnacentral:rRNA from 1 species
GUGAGGAAUAUUGGACAAUGGGCGCAAGUCUGAUCCAGCCAUGCCGCGUGCAGGAAGACGCAUCUAUGGUGUGUAAACUGCUUUUGUACGGGAAGAAACACUCCCUCGUGAGGGAGCUUGACGGUACCGUAAGAAUAAGGAUCGGCUAACUCCGUGCCAGCAGCCGCGGUAAUACGGAGGAUCCAAGCGUUAUCCGGAAUCAUUGGGUUUAAAGGGUCCGUAGGCGGUUUAAUAAGUCAGUGGUGAAAGCCCAUCGCUCAACGAUGGAACGGCCAUUGAUACUGUUAGACUUGAAUUACAAGGAAGUAACUAGAAUAUGUAGUGUAGCGGUGAAAUGCUUAGAUAUUACAUGGAAUACCAAUUGCGAAGGCAGGUUACUACUUGUGGAUUGACGCUGAUGGACGAAAGCGUGGGGAGCGAACAGGAUUAGAAACCCCGGUAGUCC